rnacentral:rRNA from 1 species
GACGAACCGUGCGAACGUUGUUCGGAAUAACUGGGCUUAAAGGGAGCGUAGGCGGGCUAACAAGUCUGGGGUGAAAUCCCGCGGCUCAACCGUGGAACUGCCUUAGAUACUGUCGGCCUCGAGGGAGAUAGGGGCAUGCGGAACUAACGGUGGAGCGGUGAAAUGCGUUGAUAUCGUUAGGAACUCCGGUGGCGAAAGCGGCGUGCUGGAUCUCUUCUGACGCUGAGGCUCGAAAGCUAGGGGAGCAAACGGG